CAUUGAUUUGGAAUAUUUAUGCAAACCUCUAAAUUUGGCAACUGUUUUUGAAAAAUUGGUAGAUGCAUGCAUUGACGCAUUUUUUAAACAGUUUAUUGUUAGUUUUUAGUUUGUUAGGUCGGUUGUUUGUGCUGCGCCCUGGAUUUGGGCGUUGUCUGUUGCAUCAUAUACAAAUUUGUGAAAGUGAAGUUAGUUUAUCGGGUUUGGACCGAAGGGUUAGGCCUUCCUCCUUUCAGACCGCCUGCGCCCAAUUGCAAUCUGCCCAGUUUAUCGUUAAAUAAAGGUGAAGUGAGACUAAAUGGUGUGUAGGUGUUACGAAAGUAAAUUUAAGUACAAUUAAGGUGUGGCUUUAAUACCUAUAUUCACAAAGAAAAGGCCUCUUUCGAAGCUAGUAAACUGCAGGCAGAGGAAAUAAAUAUGUUGGUGGCAACUUUUAUUACAUUUAAAGCCACGAAUUUGGCUUUGGACUCUCAAAUUGCAUCGAUCUAUAGCUGUUUUG
rnacentral:lncRNA from 1 species